rfam:Lupinus angustifolius cultivar Tanjil contig_23391, whole genome shotgun sequence.
AGGUGCGAUCAUACCAGCACUAAUGCACCAGAUCCCAUUAGAACUUCGCAGUUAUGUGUGCUUGGGCGAGAGUAGUACUAGGACGGGUGACCUCGUGGGAAGUCCUCGUGUUGCACCUC